CUGAUCCAGCAAUGCCGCGUGUGUGAAGAAGGCCUUCGGGUUGUAAAGCUCUUUUGUCCGGAAAGAAAUCCUUGGCUCUAAUACAGUCGGGGGAUGACGGUACCGUGAAGAAUAAGCACCGGCUAACUACGUGCCAGCAGCCGCGGUAAUACGUAGGGUGCGAGCGUUAAUCGGAAUUACUGGGCGUAAAGCGUGCGCAGGCGGUUUGCUAAGACCGAUGUGAAAUCCCCGGGCUCAACCUGGGAACUGCAUUGGUGACUGGCAGGCUAGAGUAUGGCAGAGGGGGGUAGAAUUCCACGUGUAGCAGUGAAAUGCGUAGAGAUAUGGAGGAAUACCGAUAGCGAAAGCACCC
rnacentral:rRNA from 1 species